GGUUGUGGCUCAGUGGUAGAGCACUCGGCUGGCGUGUGUGAGGCUCUGGGUUCGGUCCUCAGCACCA
rnacentral:tRNA from 1 species